rnacentral:rRNA from 1 species
CACGUAGGGCGCAAGCGUUGUCCGGAAUUAUUGGGCGUAAAGAGCUCGUAGGCGGUCUGUUGCGUCCGCUGUGAAAACCCGGGGCUUAACCCUGGGCUGGCAGUGGAUACGGACAGACUAGAGGUAGGUAGGGGAGAAUGGAAUUCCCGGUGUAGCGGUGAAAUGCGCAGAUAUCAGGAAGAACACCUAUUGCGAAGGCAGCUCGCUGGGACGUUACUGACGCUGAGACGCGAAAGCGUGGGGAGCAAACAGG